rnacentral:lncRNA from 1 species
AGGACAAGUUCUCUGAGUUCUGGGAUUUGGACCCUGAGGUCAGACCAACUUCAGCCGUGGCUGCCUGAGACCUCAAUACCCCAAGUCCACCUGCCUAUCCAUCCUGCGAGCUCCUUGGGUCCUGCAAUCUCCAGGGCUGCCCCUGUAGGUUGCUUAAAAGGGACAGUAUUCUCAGUGCUCUCCUACCCCACCUCAUGCCUGGCCCCCCUCCAGGCAUGCUGGCCUCCCAAUAAAGCUGGACAAGAAGCUGC